rnacentral:rRNA from 1 species
UCGCCCGUACCGCAAACCGACACAGGUAGUCAAGGGGAAUAUCCUGAGGCGCUCGAGUGAUCCGUGGCUAAGGAACUAGGCAAAUUGACCGCGUAACUUCGGGAUAAGCGGUACCCACUUCGGUGGGUUUCAAUGAAAUGGCUCAGGCGACUGUUUAACAAAAACACAUGGCUCUGCAAAAUCGAAAGAUGACGUAUAGGGCCUGACACCUGCCCGGUGCUGGAAGGUUAAGAGGAGAUGUCAGCCGCAAGGUGAAGCAUUGAAUCGAAGCCCCAGUAAACGGCGGCCGUAACAGUAACGGUCCUAAGGUAGCGAAAUUCCUUGUCGGGUAAGUUCCGACCUGCACGAAUGGUGUAACGAUCUGAGCACUGUCUCGGCCACGAGCUCGGUGAAAUUGUAGUUUCGGUGAAGAUGCCGGAUACCCGCAACGGGACGGAAAGACCCCGUGCACCUUUACUAUAGCUUCACAUUGACAUCGGCUGCCCGAUGUGUAGGAUAGGUGGGAGACUUUGAAGUUGCGUCGCUAGGCGUGAUGGAGUCAACGUUGAAAUACCACCCUUCGUUCAUCUGAUGUCUAAUCCCUGCGAAACAGGGAAACAGUGUGUGGUGGGUAGUUUGACUGGGGUGGUCGCCUCCAAAGGAGUAUCGGAGGCUUCCAAAGGUUCCCUCAGCACGCUUGGUACCGUGCGUUGAGUGCAUUGACACAAGGGAGCUUGACUGUGAGACAGACAAGUCGAGCAGGUAGGAAACUAGGGCAAAGUGAUCCGGUGCUUCCGUAUGGAAGGGCCAUCGCUCAUAGGAUAAAAGGUACGCCGGGGAUAACAGGCUGAUCAUUCCCAAGAGCUCAUAUCGACGGAAUGGUUUGGCACCUCGAUGUCGGUUCGUCACAUCCUGGGGCUGGAGAAGGUCCCAAGGGCUCGGCUGUUCGCCGAUUAAAGUGGCACGUGAACUGGGUUCAGAACGUCGUGAGACAGUUCGGUCCCUAUCUGUUGCGGGCGUUAGAAGUUUGAGGGGAGCUACCAUUAGUACGAGAGGACCGUGGUGGACGAACCGCUAGUGUACCAGUUGUCCCGCUAGGGGCACCGCUGGGUAGCUAUGUUCGGACGGGAUAAGCGCUGAAAGCAUCUAAGCACGAAGCCCACCCCAAGAUGAGACUUCUUUAUAAGGGUCGUGGAAGAUUACCACGUUGAUAGGCCACAGGUGUAAAGUCAGCAAUGGCAAAGCCGAGUGGUACUAAUUACCUG